GACAGAGGGGGCAAGCGUUGUCCGGAGUUACUGGGCGUAAAGCGUCCGCAGGCGGUACGGUAAGUGGUGUGUGAAAGCGCGCAGCUCAACUGCGCGAGGCCAUGCCAGACUGCCGCACUCGAGUCCGGUAGAGGUUCGUCGAAUUGCCGGUGUAGUGGUGAAAUGCGUAGAGAUCGGCAGGAAGACCAAGGGUGAAGACAGCGAACUGGGCCGGUACUGACGCUGAAGGACGAAAGCGUGGGGAGCGAAC
rnacentral:rRNA from 1 species